UACAGAGGGGGCAAGCGUUGUCCGGAAUUACUGGGCGUAAAGCGUGCGCAGGCGGUGAUGUAAGACAGUUGUGAAAUCCCCGGGCUCAACCUGGGAACUGCAUCUGUGACUGCAUCGCUGGAGUGCGGCAGAGGGGGAUGGAAUUCCGCGUGUAGCAGUGAAAUGCGUAGAUAUGCGGAGGAACACCGAUGGCGAAGGCAAUCCCCUGGGCCUGCACUGACGCUCAUGCACGAAAGCGUGGGGAGCAAACAGG
rnacentral:rRNA from 1 species